rnacentral:rRNA from 1 species
AGAGUUUGAUCCUGGCUCAGAUUGAACGCUGGCGGCAUGCCUUACACAUGCAAGUCGAACGGCAGCACGGGGGCAACCCUGGUGGCGAGUGGCGAACGGGUGAGUAAUACAUCGGAACGUGUCCUGUAGUGGGGGAUAGCCCGGCGAAAGCCGGAUUAAUACCGCAUACGAUCUACGGAAGAAAGCGGGGGAUCGCAAGACCUCGCGCUAUAGGGGCGGCCGAUGGCAGAUUAGCUAGUUGGUGGGGUAAAGGCCUACCAAGGCGACGAUCUGUAGCUGGUCUGAGAGGACGACCAGCCACACUGGGACUGAGACACGGCCCAGACUCCUACGGGAGGCAGCAGUGGGGAAUUUUGGACAAUGGGGGAAACCCUGAUCCAGCAAUGCCGCGUGUGUGAAGAAGGCCUUCGGGUUGUAAAGCACUUUUGUCCGGAAAGAAA